CCUCUCUCUCUCUAUAUGCCUCUCUGUCUCUGCAACUCUAUCUCCCUCUCCCUCUCUCUCUCACUCUAAAGGAGAGGACACUACCUUAGACUGUGUAUGUGUAUGCGUGCAUGUGUGUGUGUGUACCCUUUUGUGCUAAAAUAAAGGUGGCAUCUGUGGUUCUGAUGCCAUGUCCCUCUGACUGCGUGGUGGUGAGGAGCACAGUCACCUUGGCUUGGAGUUGGCGGCAGUUGCAUAUCAGUCGGUCAUCAGGGCCAGCUGUUCUUCAGGCCUCCCAUGCUCCCCUGGUUGUUCCACCCAUCUGCCCCCCUGAAGGGGAACAUCCACGGCUUCUUUAAAAACACACAAAUACACAACAACUAAGUAAACACCAUCUGAGAGAAUACCUGAUUGGCUCCCUUGGCAUUUUGAGCUGCUUUAUUUGAUUGGCUGCUUAUUACAUUUUGGUAUACAGUAAAAUAUUGUUUAUUGUUGUGUAAAUGUACCUAAAUGUACCUAAAGAUGUAAACUAAUUAUCGAAAUGCUAUUGUAGGUACAAUCUUUAAUGCUGUAAAAACAAUUAUGAUAUAUACCCAUUGAUUUUUGGAAGAAUAUAACUUAGAAAUGCCUUGCAAGGGGCUGCCUUUGGCUGAAAAACAAA